UGAGCCGUCACCUGGGCUCCAGGGGGCUUUGGUGAUGCAGCUGUUUUGACCGUCACCUAGGCUUCAGGGGACUUCGGUGAUGCAGCUGUUUGUGACUGUCACCUAGGCUUAGGGGGCUUUGGUGAUGCAGCUGUCUUAGAAUCACUUCUGCUCCUUUACCCCUCACCUCUGUUCCUGUAGAUGAUCCCUGCAGAAUUCAUUGGUUCACCAGUUGCACUUUGGUGCUACCCAUACUUGGGUCAACCAUGGGCUCUCUCGGAUGCAGAAGAAGUGCUCAGGGUGACGCGUCUUCCACAGGAUGGUCACAAUCUGCCUGGUGAUGGGCUUCUUGCUGGCCUUUUGGCAACCGUGGAGACCCCCAGCUUGUUCCAGUCAGACUGAAGACUCUCCAGUAUGCUGUGGAACUGGCUCCUGGGCUUUAGAGGUCCUUGGAGGUCACAAUCCAGCACUGAGGGAAGCCAACACAGGAACAUGAGGCAGCCAGUGACUUCCAGUCAAGAGCAGAGCAGGAAUGAACGUAUGUAUGCUGACCGACCACUCAGCUCACUUCCUCCAUUUUCAGAGUCCAGAACCCAAAUACAGAGACUGGUACCACUCAUAGUGGGCUGGGUCUUCCACAUCAUUAACAUAAUCAAGACAAUCCUACGCAGAUGUGCACACAGGCCAGCCUGAUCUAGACAAUCCCUCAUUGAGAAUCUGAAGUGAUUCUAGAUUAUAUCAAAUUGACAAUUAAAACGAACCACUAU